rnacentral:rRNA from 1 species
UACAGAGGUCUCAAGCGUUGUUCGGAUUCAUUGGGCGUAAAGGGUGCGUAGGCGGCGCGGUAAGUCGGGUGUGAAAUCUCGGAGCUUAACUCCGAAACUGCAUUCGAUACUGCCGUGCUUGAGGACUGGAGAGGAGACUGGAAUUUACGGUGUAGCGGUGAAAUGCGUAGAUAUCAGGAGGAAUACCGAUGGCGAAGGCAGUACUCUGGGCUAACACUGACGCUGAGGUGCGAAAGCGUGGGGAGCAAACGGG